UUACUUUUAGCUUUUUCCAGUUACGCAAAAUGGAAAUCCGGUCUAAGUAGGAUACUGUCAUUACUCCUAUUACUCCUGCAAACAGUCGGUGCACCAUCAUCACCUGCUCCAAUGGACACAGCAGGAAGCAACAAAAGGAAGAUCGGAAAUCCUGUCACAAACAAAAAAGACAAGCAAGAGGUCACUUCUUAUCACAAGCAUGUUCUAGAGGUGAAGACUUCCCCUCCAAAACACAAUAACAAGGUCAGUGAAAAAUAAUGUCAUCUACACUUCGCGAUGUGAUUAGAGCCUUUUUUUGUUGAUGUAGCAAGCAUAAUCAUAACGGAUCACUUUCCUUUUGCCUAUGUAAAUAAAAUGUGAUGUUAUAAAACUUAGGCUCCAACAUUAACAUAUAAUUUUUGUCGGGUCACACUUGGACUUAAUAUGCAAUAGUCAUAUAUGUAUCCCACUUGAAA